rnacentral:rRNA from 1 species
AUUGAAGAGUUUGAUCAUGGCUCAGAUUGAACGCUGGCGGCAGGCCUAACACAUGCAAGUCGAACGGUAACAGGAAGAAGCUUGCUUCUUUGCUGACGAGUGGCGGACGGGUGAGUAAUGUCUGGGAAACUGCCUGGUGGAGGGGGAUAACUACUGGAAACGGUAGCUAAUACCGCAUAACGUCGCAAGACCAAAGAGGGGGACCUUCGGGCCU